rnacentral:sRNA from 1 species
GCUGGGUGUGGUGGCGCAUGCCUGUAAUACCAGAGACUUGGGAGGCUGAAGCAGGAGGAUCACAAGUUCAAAGCCAGUCUCAGCAACUCAGUGAGACCCUGUCUCUA